rnacentral:rRNA from 1 species
AUUGAACGCUGGCGGCAUGCCUUACACAUGCAAGUCGAACGGCAGCACGGGUGCUUGCACCUGGUGGCGAGUGGCGAACGGGUGAGUAAUACAUCGGAACAUGUCCUGUAGUGGGGGAUAGCCCGGCGAAAGCCGGAUUAAUACCGCAUACGAUCUACGGAUGAAAGCGGGGGACCUUCGGGCCUCGCGCUAUAGGGUUGGCCGAUGGCUGAUUAGCUAGUUGGUGGGGUAAAGGCCUACCAAGGCGACGAUCAGUAGCUGGUCUGAGAGGACGACCAGCCACACUGGGACUGAGAAACGGCCCAGACGCCUACGGGAGGCAGCAGUGGGGAAUUUUGGACAAUGGGCGAAAGCCUGAUCCAGCAAUGCCGCGUGUGUGAAGAAGGCCUUCGGGUUGUAAAGCACUUUUGUCCGGAAAGAAAUCCUUGGCCCUAAUACGGUCGGGGGAUGACGGUACCGGAAGAAUAAGCACCGGCUAACUACGU